AGUGGGAUAACUGGGUCAAAUGGUGGUUCCUUUCCAAGUUUUCUGAGGAAUUUCCAUACUGCUUUCCAGAGUGGUUGCACCAAUUUGCAGUCCCACCAGCAAU
rnacentral:pre_miRNA from 1 species